rnacentral:rRNA from 1 species
CUAUGCGCCUUGCCAGCCCGCUCAGUCAGAGUUUGAUCCUGGCUCAGGAUGAACGCUAGCGGCAGGCCUCAUACAUGCAAGUCGAGGGGCAGCGGGACACUUCGGUGUUGCCGGCGACCGGCGGACGGGUGCGUAAUGCGCAUGCAAUCUACUUUACACUGGGGAAUAGCCUCCGGAAACGGGAAUUAAUACCCCAUAUAAUCUUACUGGCGCAUGCUAGAAAGAUGAAAGCUCAGGCGGUGUAAAAUGAGCGUGCGUCCUAUUAGCUAGUUGGAGAGUAAUGGCUCACCAAGGCUACGAUGGGUAGGGGUUCUUAGUGGAAGGUCCCCCACACUGGCACUGAGAUACGGGCCAG